rnacentral:rRNA from 1 species
UAAACUGGCGGCGUGCUUACCAUGCAAGUCCAACGGAGUUUAUAUGAAACCUAGUGAUUAUAAACUUAGUGGCGGACGGGUGAGUAACGCGUGGGUAACCUGCCUUAUACCGGGGGACAACAGUUAGAAAUGACUGCUAAUACCGCAUAAGCGCACGGUGUCGCAUGACACAGUGUGAAAAACUCCGGUGGUAUAAGAUGGACCCGCGUCUGAUUAGCCAGUUGGUGAGGUAACGGCCCACCAAAGCAACGAUCAGUAGCCGGCCUGAGAGGGUGAACGGCCACAUUGGGACUGAGACACGGCCCAAACUCCUACGGGAGGCAGCAGUGGGGAAUAUUGGACAAUGGGGGAAACCCUGAUCCAGCGACGCCGCGUGAGUGAAGAAGUAUUUCGGUAUGUAAAGCUCUAUCAGCAAGGAAGAUAGUGACGGUACUUGACUAAGAAGCCCCGGCUAACUACGUGCCAGCAGCCGCGGUAAU